CUCCCUGAUGUUAGCGGCGGACGGGUGAGUAACACGUGGGUAACCUGCCUGUAAGACUGGGAUAACUCCGGGAAACCGGGGCUAAUACCGGAUGCUUGUUUGAACCGCAUGGUUCAAACAUAAAAGGUGGCUUCGGCUACCACUUACAGAUGGACCCGCGGCGCAUUAGCUAGUUGGUGAGGUAAUGGCUCACCAAGGCAACGAUGCGUAGCCGACCUGAGAGGGUGAUCGGCCACACUGGGACUGAGACACGGCCCAGACUCCUACGGGAG
rnacentral:rRNA from 1 species